GGGUAGAUAAGGUAUGAACUUUAUACCUCAAAGGUCACCAAAACAUGGAGCUUAAUCCGGAUCUCUAAGCUUCCUUUCAAUGAAUGAGUCUUCCAACUUCUUCUUCUAUCACUUCAAGGAGCACAAACCACCAAAAUCAAGACCAAGGGCCAAGAACACUAAAAAAUGCUAUUAGGGUUCGAGAUUAGGGUUUUAGGAUAUAUCCGCAGGUCGGCGACUAAUGGAUCGAGAGCGCCUUUAAUCAUCUCACCAAGUCUAUGGUUCUUCUACUUCACAUAAUCAUCUUGCUGCACGGAACCAUCGACAGUCCAAUGGCAAGAAGACGAUUUCCAGAUGUAGAAGAGUUCUAUCAGCAGUGCGACCCUGAUUUAUCAUCUAUGCUGUGGGAUUUCUACGAGAAAUGGCAUGAAGCAUAGAUGCCAGCUGCUAGGCCGCUCCAAAGAAACGAACAAAACAGCAGCAACAAUGGCUCUAACGGAGCAGGGCAAUAGAGUAGUAUUGGCCAUAUUAGAUGGUGGUGGUGGCACUAUGUGAACUUCCAUAGAUGGGAUAGAUUUUCCAUGAAGGGUUUUUCUCAAAUCAGUUGGAUCUCAUAUUUGGCAUCUGGAAGGAUGUAAGUGGGAAUGUUCGCUAUUGUCGCAAGGUCACAACUUGAACCUAUUUACCUUUCUUUUUGGCCAUAUAAAAACUAUUUGAUUCUUAUAUAUUUUAAAUGAUAUUGGUAGGAAGAUAUGGUUAGGUGAACUGUAGGUGUGAAAUCGGUGGAUAGAGAUUGGAAGGUGAGGAAAUUGAUCACACAUACGUCGGAAUUUGUAGAGCUUCACACCGGAUGGUUUAAUUCUGUUUCAAGUUUAAGGACCAUAUUGCCCCUACUUUUGAAUAUGUUCAACAAUUUCAGGUAUUGUCAUCAAUAUACGUAAAUUACAAAUCUUGCAAAAUAGGUAUGUUGUUAUGGUGUGUUUCUGAAUAUCAUCUAGCUUUUAUGCAAUUUAACUUUUUUUAUACCCCCAAUAUUUUAUAUUUUGUUUUAUGGUAAAAAUCACUCUGUUUUAUGGUAAAAAAAAAUAUUGAGCUUAACAGUUUUUAUCCAAAAUGCUACUACAUACUGUUUUUUUUUUUUUUUUUGGUAAACAAAAUAGUGAUUUUAACAUUAUUUUUGUCAAAAAUGCCCCUUCAUACUGUUUUUUUUUUUUUUUUGAUAAAAAAAAUAUUUUAACGGGUUUGACCAAACUACCCCUACAUGUUGUUUUUUGGUAAAAAAAACAAGUGGACGUAUUUUUGCUUCUUCUUGCAUUUAGCCCGCUAAAUAUUUCCAAUAAUUUUUUUAUUCUUAUAGCAUUUUACUUCUUUGUUAUUUUUUAUAACAGUUGCAUGGUUUUAAGGUAAAUUUCAUUGCCUUUUUGUAUCUAAUAAUGGUUAUAUUUCAUUCCACUCACUAAUCUAUUGAUGAUUUCCGAAUGGGAAAUUGCCUCCAUAGACAACAAGGUACUAUCUUAAAGAACAAGUAUAAUUUUUCUCUUUAAUUUACACACAUUACGCAUGUAUUUUGAUUUCAAGGGUUUCUUGAAUGUUCUUCAUCCAGAUUAUACAAAUGAAAGCAUUUGGUAAUUCAGCGGAGAAGGAGGCGAGAGCAAAAAGGCAACUGAUUCCAACGGACCUACCAUGAUUUCAAACAAAGAAACUUCGGGUUUCUUGCUUUCUUCCACAAUUCUAUUUCAAUAUCCACUUACCUUAGAGGUGACAGACCGGAAUCUUUGGUUUUAGGUUGUCUAUCACGAAGCAUGUCUGUGAAAUCUUCUCUAUUUAUCAGUUUUGAGAAAAUGUCAAUCGAUUUCAGCAACAGAAAUUACACGUAAAGAACUUCAGAAGGUAAAAAUGGGUUUGCACUGUCUUCACUCGACAUCAACUAUAUACUCGGAGCGUGCUAAAAACGGGUUUGCACUGGUAAAAAUAAGCUUCUACAACACUCGGGGCAUCCAUGACAUCACCACCACCACAAACACCUGAGGAAGAAGAUUGCUCAUAUUGAUUGUACUCAAAGAGCUAUUAAAAUAAUGGAAGAUGCAAAAAGACCUGAUGUGGUUAUAAAUUUGAGUUCAGCAUCAGCUUUAUAUCAAUGAUAACUGACCCUAUUUAUUCCACUGCCAAAGGUUGUUAUUUUAUAAUUCAUAUGAGAAUAAAAAAAAUAUAAUCUUAUAUUUUUUUUUCUAAUGUUUUCUUUGUUGGAAAGGGGGUGUGGUUAUGUUUAUCGGAUUGCUUUAAACCUACAAGAGAAAGGGUAUUUGUGUGUAUGUGCUUUGCCCUGAGGGUGAUAAGAGCAGUGUCUCUUCAUUCUUUAAUGGUUUACAAGUAGAUGAGAAACUUUGGUGAUGGAUUGUCUGAAAAUGGAAAUUUUAUAUCUUGGAAACCGUUUUAAAUGUCACUUUUUAUUUUUCAA